GUGCGAUCGAGAGAAGGAACCAAGGGAACCAAAACCCUAAACAACCUAAAAUCAUCAAAUUGAAAGGGGAAUCGAGGGCUGAUCGAAUGCAUGAGUCUAGAUACCCUUUAAUCUAAGUGUAUUGAUCAUAAGGAACGUGUCAAGGAGAGCUCAAGCAUAGGAGGAUAACGGGUCAAGAUAAGGCAAGGUGACAAAUACACUUAUUGGAAUACUCAAGGUUAUGAAUGUCGGACUUUCGAAGUGUUGAUAUAAUAAUGAAACGGUUGAAUGUUGAAAGGAUAAUCGGAUUGAAGUAACUUAUGCGGUAAAUCCUCAAUUUUGGCGACUUGGAGAAUCGGAGCGAGCGCGUGUUCGUGUUAUGCGAUACCAAACGCUUCCGCUAGCUUGUUCAAAUGUUUUUGAUCCAAAAUUUGUUGUAUUGGUUUUUAGUAGUAUCUUGUUGAACGAAUUGUAGAAUUGUAUCUAGUUUGUUUAUGUUUAAAACAGGGGUAUGCUCGUUUUAUGGACGGGUCAUGCCCGAUUUUUUGUUAAAUUAUAGUUUGAUAAUAUCACAUUUAGGA
rnacentral:lncRNA from 1 species